AGUGCUCGUCGCCCGGCAGGCGUAAUACAUGCAGUCGAGCGGACUUUCGGGGUCAGCGGCGGACGGGUGAGUAACGCGUGGGAAUAUGCCCUUCUCUACGGAAUAGUCCUGGGAAACUGGGGGUAAUACCGUAUACGCCCUUUGGGGGAAAGAUUUAUCGGGGAAGGAUUAGCCCGCGUUGGAUUAGGUAGUUGGUGGGGUAAUGGCCUACCAAGCCGACGAUCCAUAGCUGGUUUGAGAGGAUGAUCAGCCACACUGGGACUGAGACACGGCCCAGACUCCUACGGGAGGCAGCAGUGGGGAAUCUUAGACAAUGGGGGCAACCCUGAUCUAGCCAUGCCGCGUGAGUGAUGAAGGCCUUAGGGUUGUAAAGCUCUUUCAGCUGGGAAGAUAAUGACGGUACCAGCAGAAGAAGCCCCGGCUAACUCCGUGCCAGCAGCCGCGUUAAUACCUAAGGUA
rnacentral:rRNA from 1 species